rnacentral:rRNA from 1 species
AUUGAACGCUGGCGGCAGGCCUAACACAUGCAAGUCGAGCGAGCGGCGGACGGGUGAGUAAUGUCUGGGAAACUGCCUGAUGGAGGGGGAUACCUACUGGAAACGGUAGCUAAUACCGCAUACCAUCAGAUGGGCCCAGAUGGGAUUAGCUAGUAGGUGGGGUAACGGCUUACCUAGGCGACGAUCCCUAGCUGGUCUGAGAGGAUGACCAGCCACACUGGAACUGAGACACGGUCCAGACUCCUACGGGAGGCAGCAGUGGGGAAUAUUGCACAAUGGGAGCAAGCCUGAUGCAGCCAUGCCGCGGGAGUGAAGAAGGCCUUCGGGGUGGAAAGCACUUUCAGCGGGGAGGCGGUACCCGCAGAAGAAGCACCGGCUAACUCCGUGCCAGCAGCCGCGGUAAUAC